UACGUAGGGGGCAAGCGUUAUCCGGAUUUACUGGGUGUAAAGGGAGCGUAGACGGUGAUGCAAGUCAGAAGUGAAAGCCCGGGGCUCAACCCCGGGACUGCAUUUGGAACUGUGCUGCUAGAGUGUCGGAGAGGCAGGCGGAAUUCCUAGUGUAGCGGUGAAAUGCGUAGAUAUUAGGAGGAACACCAGUGGCGAAGGCAGCAUACCGGCGCCCGACUGACGCUGAGGCACGAAAGCGUGGGUAUCGAACAGG
rnacentral:rRNA from 1 species